rnacentral:rRNA from 1 species
UACGUAGGGCGCAAGCGUUGUCCGGAAUUAUUGGGCGUAAAGAGCUCGUAGGCGGCUGGUCGCGUCUGUCGUGAAAACUUCCGGCUCAACCGGGGGCUUGCGGUGGGUACGGGCCGGCUAGAGUGCGGUAGGGGUAACUGGAACUCCUGGUGUAGCGGUGGAAUGCGCAGAUAUCAGGAAGAACACCGAUGGCGAAGGCAGGUUACUGGGCCGUUACUGACGCUGAGGAGCGAAAGCGUGGGGAG